GACGAACGCUGGCGGCGUGCCUAAUACAUGCAAGUCGAACGCUUCUUACUUAUCGAACUUCGGUUCACCAAGUAAGAGGAGUGGCGAACGGGUGAGUAACACGUGGGUAACCUGCCCAUCAGAGGGGGAUAACACUUGGAAACAGGUGCUAAUACCGCAUAAUUCAGUUUACCGCCUGGUAGAGUGAUGAAAGGCGCUUUUGCGUCACUGAUGGAUGGACCCGCGGUGCAUUAGCGAGUUGGUAGGGUAAUGGCCUACCAAGGCAACGAUGCAUAGCCGACCUGAGAGGGUGAUCGGCCACACUGGGACUGAGACACGGCCCAGACUCCUACGGGAGGCAGCAGUAGGGAAUCUUCGGCAAUGGACGAAAGUCUGACCGAGCAACGCCGCGUGAGUGAAGAAGGUUUUCGGAUCGUAAAACUCUGUUGUUAGAGAAGAACAAGGAUGAGAGUAAAAUGUUCAUCCCUUGACGGUAUCUAACCAGAAAGCCACGGCUAACUACGUGCCAGCCGCCGCAGUAA
rnacentral:rRNA from 1 species